rnacentral:rRNA from 1 species
AGUGAACGCUGGCGGCAGGCCUAACACAUGCAAGUCGAGCGGCAGCGCGUCCGACCACCCUCGGGUGGUCGGAUGGCGGCGAGCGGCGGACGGGUGAGGAAUGCAUCGGAAUCUGCCUCGUUGUGGGGGAUAACGUAGGGAAACUUACGCUAAUACCGCAUACGACCUACGGGUGAAAGUGGGGGACCUUCGGGCCUCACGCGAUGAGAUGAGCCGAUGCCGGAUUAGCUAGUUGGCGGGGUAAAGGCCCACCAAGGCGACGAUCCGUAGCUGGUCUAAGAGGAUGAUCAGCCACACUGGAACUGAGACACGGUCCAGACUCCUACGGGGGGCAGCAGUGGGGAAUAUUGGACAAUGGGGGCAACCCUGAUCCAGCCAUGCCGCGUGUGUGAAGAAGGCCUUCGGUUGU